UGUCUAAAAACUAGUAUUAUUUUCUUAGGUCAUUUUGCUAAUUAAGAAAAUACUACCUGAUUUAAGAAUUUUUAGAUAUUUCUACUGAAAAAAAAAAAAUUCUAAGUAAGAAAGUCAUUUUUUGCAGUGUAUGACGUUAAUUUCCACGUUACCCUUUGGCUUUACUGACGUGUAACAUGUAUGACUAACAAUUUCGUUUUGAACAUUACAUGAAACCUUACAUAAUGAAAUAAAAUGGUGUCAUCAAAAGAAAUUAUCAAAAUAGACUGAAAACAUGCGUUACCAUCAGUGUUCUUCUGUGGUUAUGAAUCAGCAUUGUGAUGAUACAUAGAAGGAAGUAAAGGAUUGUGGAAAAUAAAACAACUUCCUCUUUCUUUACUUUAAAAGAAGCAAGUGCUGUCAUAAAACGCACACAACACAACCUGGACUGCUGACGAACACGAGGUAAAUAAGGCAAUAAAGACUAAAACAAAAAUGUUUCAGCUGAUAGCAAGACUACGUCCGAUCUGGUCCAGCGUGUGUGACCUCUACACGAGCAACACCACGAAGAGCUGGAAGGAGAAACUUCUCCUGGUGUUUACCUGCUUCACCUCCAGCCUCAUUCUGAGCAGCUUAAUCUUCCUCAUCCUCCACUUUUCCUUUAAAUGUAAUCUGGAAGUCUCAGCUUCCAUAAGCUGUGGUUUCUGUGUUUGUUUAACCCCAGCCAUCUUUUUCUCAGAAAGGGCUCGCUGUUUUGCAGCCUUGCUUUUGAUCUCCAUGGGUUUGAAACAAGUGAGGUCUCUUCUUCUGACAUUUGGAACGAGUUUGGUUAUUUUCUUCAACAUCAAGAACACGUUAUGGAACGGCAGACUGCUCGCGAAAGGCCUGAUUUGCAACUUGGAGGAAAAAUUAUUGGAUAUUAACAUGGAGCCCUUUGGGAAUUACAUAAAAAUGCUGAAAUGGGUGGGAAAUCAACUUAAAAACGUUCUAAGUAUUAAUCUAGUGAAAGUCCAUGCAGACUUCAAGCUUAAGCCGAAAGUUAACUCAGAGAGCUUUAAAACUCACAUGAUCGAAGGUGAGCGAGCCCUAAAUGAGACGGUUCGGAGCCUGCUGAUGCUGACCGACGCCUUGUCUUCAGUAGGAAAGAUCUUGUCUCCGACUUUAGGUCUCUUUCUUCUGUUGCUUCUCACGGCUCUGUACCUCAGGCGAUUCCGCAUAGACAAAAAGUACAACAACGUAUAUAUCACAAAAAACUUUAUUCGCUUUGAUGAAAAGCAAAGGGAGAAAGGUAAACCUUGUGUCCUUCCGUUCACUAAAAGUGAAUUGAAACGUUACGUUAUGACCCCGUCCCUCAGUCUGACGGCCCAGCGAUGGAAAGCCAUGCUUAAGUUCAGCAUUCCCAUAUUAACCCAUUGUCUCACCUGGCUGGUGUUUAUCAGUCUAGACAGCUUCAUUUAUUGGCUUAUUGUAGUUCUAAGUAAGCGACUUGGGGAUCUGGAGCCGCUUCGUGUUCCUGUGGGCAUAAAACUUCAGGAGGCAACUUUAUUUUUAGGUUUAUCUGUUGAGGAAAAUGCGAAAUGGGCCAACUUUUCCUACACCGUGUCUUUGUUUGAGAAGAAGUGUUUGCCUGAACCUGAACUGUGGCUAUACAGAUCUCUGGUCCCAUUGUCUCUCGUUCUGGUCUUUCUGCUGUUUCUGAGUCUGCUGUCAUCACAGCUCACGCAGCUCAGGGUUUUGCUGUCCGAACAGUUUUAUUCAGAUGUUGCAGAGAGACGCGCUGCCUAUCUGCACGCAAAGAUCUUAAAAAAGCGUCACAAAUAUAAAGCGGAUAAAGGAGAUCUGAAGACCUCGGUUAUGCAGGUUUGUAUUCAAUACUAUAUCUACAUACAGCACACAGGUUCCCUUACAUGAAAGUCGGUGUCAUGUUUCUACAGUAGCCCUAAAUGGACAAACUGUUCUAUAGAGUGCGUUUUGUCACUACGUUGUCUCAGACGAUGAUGUGAUUGUCCUGUGGUGGCUACUGUAGCUUCUCUAUGCGUUUCUCAAAAGAGAGGGGUAAGCUAUGGACUGAGCAGUCUCACCACUAGAUGUCGCUUAAAUUCCCACUUUGCAUAUUUAAAUUUCUUGUAGAUCACCAGGGACCUCAUUUAGUAAGCGUGGGUAAAAAUUCACGGCCAUAUUUCUAAAAACUGUCGUUGAUGUGGAAAAGUGCUUAGCGCCAAGUCAGGGUCUGAUCAGAUGUACGCACUUUUGCUUGUCUGAUUGCUGCAGGUUUUUGGAAAAUAAGCCAUUCUAUAUAAGUCAUAUAAGCGCUCUUUUAUGUGUCUAUGACAUUAAUUACGCAUUGUUUAAAGGCGGAGGUUUUAAACUGCUUAACUGCGCACAAGUUCAAGAUCAUUUAUGAUUUAUAAAUUUCACAUCUGAAAGAAAGGGGUACGCGUUGGUUUAUGAAUCACACAUACGCAUUUUUCAUAAAAGGUCGUAAGAUCAAAUGUACGAUGGUUUCUACACAGCAUUUUAUAAAUGAGGCCCCUGAAAUAUAUCAGAGAAAAUCUUUUAUUGCAUUUUUAAAAAUAAAGUUGCUAGAAAUGUUUUAGUUAAAUCAACUUAGAUUUACAAGUCAUUUUAACUUACUAUUAUUUAUCUUGACUAGAGAUAAGUUGUUAUAACUUAUUACACAGCUCUCUGGAAUGCUUGAUUCUGAUUGGUCAGUUGAGACAUUUGCAGGUUCGUUCUUUUCAAAUAAUAACCGCUCCAAAGUAAUAACGCAUAGCCAGUACUACUUGUAUAUUUAAAAUCCCUCCGCGCCAACAGAGAUUACCGUUUGGCGCCAUCUUGUGACAAACACUGGACAACCACAAUUAACAAUGGAAAAUUUUGACAUUAAUUUUAACAUGUACGUGUACGGUAAAAACAAAACGUUUGAACAGUGGAUAGAUUUGGACGAUUCAAAUGGCUCCCCAAUUUAGACGAAAAAACGAAAAUUGAACUACGAAGAACAAACAACAACAAGACACAGAGAUCUUACUGAACUGGACAAAAUAGAGCAUGACAGCUACGAAGCCAACACGCGGAAGGAUAAAAAUGUUAAUUUAAAACAAAUAUGCCAAUAAAAUGUUUCAAAUUCAUAUUCAUGUCCAUUUUUUUCCUUAUGUGGCAAGUAGCCGUGAAAUAAGCGGGAUAAUGUACAGGCAGCCGGUAGUUAUCGCCAAAUAAGCCCCGACAGUGUGUGAUCAGGACCCGACGCGAAGCGGACAUUAGCCUGUACAUUAUCCCUUAUAAAAUAUAGUUGAAAGAAGUCAACUUAAUUUUAUAAGUUGUAGCAACUCAUCUCUUCUUACACUUUUACAGCGA